GUGUUAUCAGCCUCCUGGGACUGAUAAUUGGAUCACAUUUAGUCUCUACUUAUGUGGGGACGCUUCAUUCAGCCUGUGAGAAGGUGGACAGAAGGAUCAAUUAACACCCAGCUGUUUGAAAAAAUAUGAAUAAGAAGUUAUCACUGCCUAUAAAUAUGCCAGCAAGGCAGUCCAACAUCUGAAGAAAGCAUCUGUUCAGGCUGAAACAAAAAAGAAGUUUCAUCUAUUCAGGCUGAAACAAAAUCAAGUAUAUCAGCUCAUUGGCCACCCCAGUGAUGACUUCCCUCAUGUGGCCUCAAUCCUUGUGAGCUCAUCUUUCCUGUCAGGCUGAAACAACGAAGUACGUGAGACCAAAUUUGCGAUAUGUAACUGUAAACGAAUAGUAAGUUCUGGUUAUAUUUUGUAAUCGAUGUACAAGUCAAUGGCUUCUUACCAUAGCACACGUACAAGUCAAUAGCUUCUUACCAUAGAACACGUUCAUUUCCUCCGGUUUCAUUUAUCUGAUAGUCUAAGGACUGCACAAGUUAUCGUAAGUUGCCUACCAGUUACAAGUAUUCCCAAC
rnacentral:lncRNA from 1 species